rnacentral:lncRNA from 1 species
CGGGCUGUUCCAAGUGGGUUCCCAAAUAAAAGAGAAAAUAAUAUCCAAUAAAUGUAUUUAUUCUCCUACCUUCCAUUUAGAGCCUGCAAGGAUGACAAGAUGGCGCCCUCCUGCCUCCUAUUUUUCCCCAACGCCCAUCUUAUAAGCCAUGGUUGCGCAGUGAUUAGAAUGCAGUAUUGCAGACUAACUCUGCCCAUAGCCAGGAGUUCGAUCCUGACCAGCUCAAGGUUGACGCAGCCUUCCAUCCUUCCCAGGAGAUUCAUCUUCUUCCUCCUCUGUGUGUUUUUCUCCAUCUCGAAGCAAUUUGUCUUUCUCUUUCUUCAAACCCAGACAAGGUUUUCACAACAUGUCUCAUUUGUGGGUACCACUAAUUAUUUUGGGAGCCCUGUCCAUGCUCACAGACAAAAAGGAGUCUCAGCAACGUAGCUAUUAGGCUCAUCAUCAGCCACUGCCAAGGGGGGGCGGUCAGAGAGAGAAGGAGCCAGGGUGGAAGCAUUGGGAGUUGAGGUCUGGCCUUGUUUCCUCCCCCAUCCCCUGGCCAAAGUGGCACCAACGGAUCUCCCAGACAGUAAUGGAGCUCAUCCAGAUUCCUCUCUGCCUCUGUGGAUGGCAAAUGGGAAGCAGACAGAUUUAAGCCAAGCUGGGUCAGUUGCUAACUUCAGCGGCUGUUAUAAAGUUGAGAUGGUUUUCUGGCAAAUCUCCUCUUCCAAAACAGAAGUGGUUUCUCUCCCACCCUUGGUAAAACUUUCUGAGAUUUCCCAGAAAAUAGACCCCACCUUAGGCAUCUUCUCCUUCCCCUUCCCUUCCCUUCCCUUCCCUUCCCUUCCCUUCUUCUUCUUCUUCUUCUUCUUCUUCUUCUUCUUCUUCUUCUUCUUCUUCUUCUUCUUCUUCUUCUUCUUCUUCCUCCUCUUCUUUUUCUUCUUCUCCUUCU